rnacentral:lncRNA from 1 species
UAUAAAUAGGGCCCAAUAAGAACAAUUAAAAUAAAACCCCCUUACACAAAAUAAUUCCCAAUAAACCCAAACUACACAAAUAAAGUCCAACAAUAAUAAAAUUGCAAACAAAUCCAAAAAUAAAAGAAAAUAAAAUGCAAAUAAAAUAGGGGAGACUAAACGGCAGGGUGGUCAGCUCUGAUGUCCCCAUCAACUCCUUCCGGGUGGGAGAAGCUCGACCCCG